UUUUAGCGGCAAUUCACUGAUCUCUUCUUCACAAGUAGAUUUUAACUAGACUCUACAUUUUAGAAUGAACCAUCCCAGGCCAAGAAAUGUUAUAGCUUGUGCUUGUACCCGUUGGUACGCUUUCUCGACUAAAAGAGGUUUCUUCGAUCUCUGAAUUGGAGAUCAAAUACCGACGAUCGAAGAAAUAAGUUUUUUUGCUGACGCAAUCAAUUUUUUAAAUGGUUAAAAGAAAGUGCUAACGAAUCACCAAACCCGAGUAUGUGAGGUGCAAUGGCAUCUAAACACAUCUUGAUUGUUACUUCCUACCUCAUAUUGAUUAUGACAGCAUUCAGAUAUGUUGAUGGAAGUCGUCUUAGUCACUGGAGUCAUUUAAAAAAGCUGGUUGACAAAACGUCGUCAGGGAACAACUUGAAGCCUCAUUUCACUACGAUAAAUGUAAAUAUAACAAUAAAGGAAGACAUUAAAGUCGGCUCCGUGGUAUUCGUUUUAAAUGCAACUGACAACGAGAACGAUACCCUUACCUUCAGUUUAGACUCAACGGGUCAAAGUUUAUUCAACGUUGGACCUUUAAAUGCCGAUACAAAGUCAGUAAAUCUAACUCUGAAAACAGCACUAAACAGAGAGCUUAAUACAAGAUAUGAGUUUAAGGCUUUUGUAAGCGACAAUCCAAGCGAUAUAACAAGACGAAGAGAGAAAACAUUUUUUGUCACUGUAAUCGAUGUCAAUGACAACAAACCAGUCUUUUCAAAGCAAUCUUAUAGGGUUUCCGUGCCGGAAAACGCCACAUUAAAUACUUUACUAUUGACCGUGUCUGCCACUGAUGCUGAUGAAGGCACUAAUGGUGAUGUGAAGUAUAGAUUUAGCAACGACUCACGCUCGGUUGACAAAUUUGAGAUCCACUCAAAUGGGACAAUAACUUUAAAAGGAGCUUUAGACUAUGAGAAAGAAUCAUCAUAUGAACUGACUGUUGUUGCAGAGGAUGGUGGUGUUCCUCAACAAAGAAAGACAUGCACAGUUGUCAUAGAUGUUAUCGAUAUAAGCGACAUGCCGCCAGUGUUUUAUAGGUCAAUAUACAUCGCAAUGAUAAAAGAGAAUUCUCCAAAGGGUACUUCAUUGGUUAAGGUUACUGCAAAAGAUGGCGAUAUAGAGGUAAUUCCGGUGGAUCGUUUACGAUCAAUCCAGACACUGGGCUCAUAACAGUUAAUGGGAGUAUUGACGCUGAGAGAAUCAAAAGCUACACACUUACUGUUCGGGCGUCAGAAGUCCCGGAGCCAGGUUUUAAUGCAUCAACCCGAGUUGAAGUAGAAGUUCUUGGUAACGCCCCCCUUCAGUCUACGCAAACUGCCCGCACAUUCUUAGAAACGAAGAAAAAGGCGACUGCUGAACGAAAG
rnacentral:misc_RNA from 1 species